rnacentral:rRNA from 1 species
AAUCAACGCUGGCGGCGCGCCUAACACAUGCAAGUCGAACGAGAAAGCGGGGGCAACCUCGUGAGUAAAGUGGCGUACGGGUGAGUAACACGUGGGUAAUCUACCCUUGAGUGUGGAAUAACCCUGGGAAACCGGGAUAAUACCGCAUAAUCCCGAGAGGGCAAAGGAGCAAUCCGGCUUAAGGAGGAGCCCGCGGCCGAUUAGCUAGUUGGUGGGGUAAAAGCCCACCAAGGCAAAGAUCGGUAGCCGGCCUGAGAGGGCACACGGCCACACUGGCACUGAAACACGGUCCAGACUCCUACGGGAGGCUG